CCCUUAGAUGUCCUGGGCCGCACGCGCGCUACACUGAUGCAUUCAACGAGUUUUACCUUGGCCGAGAGGCCUGGGCAAUCUUUUAAACCUGCAUCGUGAUAGGGAUAGAUUAUUGCAAUUAUUAAUCUUGAACGAGGAAUUCCUAGUAAACGCAAAUCAUCAAUUUGCAUUGAUUACGUCCCUGCCCUUUGUACACACCGCCCGUCGCACCUACCGAUUGAAUGGUCCGGUGAAGUCUCGGGAUUGUGGCCAGUUCACUUUAUUGGGAGUUGGCUGUGAGAACUUGUCUAAACCUUAUCAUUUAGAGGAAGGUGAAGUCGUAACA
rnacentral:rRNA from 1 species